rnacentral:rRNA from 1 species
CACGUAGGCACCAAGCGUUGUCCGGAUUUAUUGGGCGUAAAGAGCUCGUAGGCGGUUUGUCGCGUCGGGAGUGAAAUCCACUGGCUUAACUGGUGGCUUGCUUUCGAUACGGGCAGACUGGAGGUAUGGCAGGGGAGAACGGAAUUCCUGGUGUAGCGGUGAAAUGCGCAGAUAUCAGGAAGGAACACCCGGUGGCGAAGGCGGUCUCUGGGCAAUAACUGACGCUGAGGAGCGAAAGCGUGGGGAGCGAACAGG